GACGAACGCUGGCGGCGUGCCUAAUACAUGCAAGUUGAGCGCUGAAGGUUGGUACUUGUACCGACUGGCUGAGCAGCGAACGGGUGAGUAACGCGUGGGGAAUCUGCCUUUGAGCGGGGGACAACAUUUGGAAACGAAUGCUAAUACCGCAUAAAAACUUUAAACACAAGUUUUAAGUUUGAAAGAUGCAAUUGCAUCACUCAAAGAUGAUCCCGCGUUGUAUUAGCUAGUUGGUGAGGUAAAGGCUCACCAAGGCGAUGAUACAUAGCCGACCUGAGAGGGUGAUCGGCCACAUUGGGACUGAGACACGGCCCAAACGCCUACGGGAGGCAGCAGGAGGGAAUCUUCGGCAAUGGACGAAAGUCUGACCGAGCAACGCCGCGUGAGUGAAGAAGGGUUUCGGAUCGUAAAACUCUGUUGGUAGAGAAGAACGUUGGUGAGAGUGGAAAGCUCAUCAAGUGACGGUAACUACCCAGAAAGGGACGGCUAACUACGUG
rnacentral:rRNA from 1 species